rnacentral:rRNA from 1 species
CCUACGGGUGGCUGCAGUGGGGGAUAUUGCACAAUGGGGGAAACCCUGAUGCAGCGACGCCGCGUGUGGGAAGACGGUCCUCUGGAUUGUAAACCACUGUCCCCAGGGACGAAGAUGACGGUACCUGGGGAGGAAGCUCCGGCGAACUACGUGCCAGAAGCCGCGGUAAUACGUAGGGGGCAAGCGUUGUCCGGAAUUACUGGGUGUAAAGGGAGCGUAGGCGGGGUGGCAAGGUGGGUGUUAAAUCUACCGGCUGAACUGGUAGUCGCACUCAAAACUGGUAUUCUUGAGUGAAGUAGAGGCAGGCGGAAUUCCUGGUGUAGCGGUGAAAUGCGUAGAUAUCAGGAGGAACACCGGUGGCGAAGGCGGCCUGCUGGACAGCAACUGACGUUGAGGCCCGAAAGCGUGGGGAGCAAACAGGAUUAGAUACCCUUGUAGUC